AGCGAACGCCGGCGGCGUGCCUAACACAUGCAAGUCGAACGUGAAAGGGAGCACUCCCAAGUAAAGUGGCGUACGGGUGGGUAAGACGUAGGUAAGCUACCCCAGAAUCUGGACUAACCGGCCGAAAGGGUGGCUAAUACUGGAUAGAGCGACGGAAUCCGUAAUUGGGUUUUUCGGGAAAGGGAGCCUGUAAAAAGGCCUUCGUUCUGGGAUGAGCCCGCGUCCCAUCAGGUAGUUGGUGAGGGAAAAGCUUACCAAGGCAAUGACGGGUAGCUGGUCUGAGAGGACGGACAGCCACCACGGAACUGAAACACGGUCCAGACUCCUACGGGAGGCAGGAGGGGGGAAUCUUGCGCAAUGGACGAAAGUCUGACGGAGCAACGCCGCGGUGGGUAAGAAGGGCUUCGGGUUGGAAAGAUCUUUCGAGUGGGACGAAAAUGCUUGGAGUUCACAGCUCCAGGAACUGACGGUACCACUAAAGGAAGCACCGGCUAACUCCGUG
rnacentral:rRNA from 1 species